AUUGCAAACGUGAACUCUCAGUCAACAUUCACCGGGUCGCAGCGCGUUUCUCACGCCGAACUCACACGGCUUGAGCCACAGCUGAGACGCACUCUCACACAGAUGAGAUAUGACAUGUUGAGCAAAUAGUGCGGUGGAUGCACACCGUUCAGCCCGGAGUGAAGAACGAUCAUGCGUGACGUGCCGCCUCACAGGAGCAUGUAGCCUAACCUUUCCUCUGCUGCUGAUGAAUGAGUCACAACCCACAUGCCAACGGUGACCUUCCGCCAUGUUUGAGCCUCUGAUGGGGAAACUGCCCGUCUACGGACAGUAGAAGUUGUGGCUGUGAUUCAUGGCAGACCAAACAUCUCAUAAAGAAACAGCUGAGGGAAAAUCAACAGCAAGCAGCUCUUCCGUUUGGACCGCUCUAUUUAUGACGGCUGUCGGGGGUCCAGCAAAUGAAGAUGGGAUGAUUAUGAUGAUGGUGCUGGCUGUCGUAGCUUUCCCCAGGCUUUCACAUCAGGCUCACCAUCUCAGGCUCAUGACCUCUGUCACCUCCCCGCAGGGGGUCAGCCUCUUGCCAGGUGAGACAAACACAACAGAGAGUAGUUUGGCUGUAUGUUUGCUCCCCGCAGCAAGGUUAC